rnacentral:rRNA from 1 species
AUUGAACGCUAGCGGGAUGCCUUACACAUGCAAGUCGAACGGCAGCGCGGACUUCGGUCUGGCGGCGAGUGGCGAACGGGUGAGUAAUGUAUCGGAACGUGCCUAGUAGCGGGGGAUAACUACUCGAAAGAGUAGCUAAUACCGCAUACGCCCUACGGGGAAAGGGGGGAGUCGCAAGACCUCUCACUAUUAGAGCGGCCGAUAUCGGAUUAGCUAGUUGGUGAGGUAAAGGCUCACCAAGGCGACGAUCCGUAGCUGGUUUGAGAGGACGACCAGCCACACUGGGACUGAGACACGGCCCAGACUCCUACGGGAGGCAGCAGUGGGGAAUUUUGGACAAUGGGGGAAACCCUGAUCCAGCCAUUCCGCGUGUGCGAUGAAGGCCUCGGGUUGUAAAGCACUUUGG